CAACUCGCCUGCAUGAAGUCGGAAUUGCUAGUAAUCGCGGAUCAGCAUGCCGCGGUGAAUACGUUCUCGGGCCUUGUACACACCGCCCGUCACACCAUGGGAGGUCGGUAACACCCGAAGUCUGUAGCCUGACGCAAGAGGGCGCAGCCGAAGGUGGGAUUGAUGACUGGGGGUGAAGUCGUAACAAGGUAAC
rnacentral:rRNA from 1 species